ACGUCUUACUGAGGCUCCUUUUCAAUUUAAAUGGAUUAUUUGUUACUAUCAAAUUUGUAUAUAUUCAGGGGCUAAGUGUUAGUCUAGUUUUAACCCUGUAACCCUGACUAUGUUUCUGGGGUAGCCAGCAUCACACUUUGCUCACAGGUAUCACCAUAGUGGUACCUGACUUCGACCAGCAUCACAUCAGUUGUUUAUUCCUGAUGAAGAUGACAAGCAUACCAUUGAAGGCAGCACAGACCAAGACAGUCUGUGAGGAUUAUUAAUCAGCCUAUGCAGUUGUGCUUAAGAACUAAUUACUAAAUAGAAGCAAAAUUUUGGUGGUUGUGCACAGAUAGACAUGAUAGAUAUUUCAAUAAUUGUAGAAAUGUAGAUAGAGUUGUUGUUUUGUCCUAAAGGGUAGUUGUCAUGUGUAAACAACUUGUCCGAUAUUACCUGCUGAUGAGUUGUCUGCAGAUGGUUGUGUUAAUUACAGGUGUUCGUUGUGCAGGUGAAUCCAGUUACCUGCUUUGUGAUAUAUACAUGUAAAUAUAUGACUGUGUCAGAUUUAUUUCCUGACAUUUUCAUAAUUAUAUGAUACAUAUACGAAGUAAUUUUUUUAUACAACAUGGUAUGACUAAAGCCUGUUAUUUUUGUCCAGAGUCACUUUACAUAAGUUAUUUUAAGAUAACUUUAGACUGAAUAAUGCCAAGGUGUUAAAAGGCUAAAGUAGGAUCAGAAAUUCUACCAGUGGAGACUCCGAUCGCAAUCUCUACUAAUUCUACCAGAUCGCAAUCUCUACUCAGAUAUAUAUAAUGUUAUUUUGAUUAAUGUGCAGCUGUUUGUGGUACAAUAUAAGUAGUUUUUUGUGGGUUUCUGAAUUGUGGUGUGAUAGAGAAUUGUUUGAAGUAAGAGGGAUGAUGAUGAUGAUGAUGAUGAUCUUAU